AACUGUGUGUGAGGUAUUAAAUGAUUAAAACACUCUAUGAAUUGUAAUGGUGAAAUAUAUUUGCGUGCAUGUGGGUGUAUGUAAAUCAUUCGCCGCAAUUAAUUUACUUCGAAAAUAUCCAUCACAUAUGCAGUGACGUCUGAUGGCUCAACAAGUGCACAUCACAAAAUAGAGGUGGAUCGGAAGUCAUCCGACUAAAAAAACAUUUUUGGUAAAGGUGUUACCAGAAAAAAGUCUCCGAAUUCCUAUCUAAGGUUCCACAAAGUUCAAAGGAUGAAAUAAAGCGAGAUAUUGAUCAAUU
rnacentral:lncRNA from 1 species